AGACCUGAAGGAGGCAAACGGCAUUGUUACAACCACUGGUGUGCGCAGCAUCUGUGUGAGAGAAUUCUCCUUGGACCUGGGGCUCUGACCUAAUGGAAUUUACAGCUUAGAGGGUGAGAGCAGGUGUUCACAUCAAGCAAGCACCUCUGGACCACCUACCAUCCUCCUAGGUCUUGUCCUGGGCACCACGGGGACUCGGAGACAGUGGAUUUUUACGGAACACCAGACGGCCUUUCUCAAUUGGACUUUCUCAUCUGAGCCACAGACUACAGAAGAUGAUUUGAGUGGUAAGUUUCUCCAUUAUCCCAGAAAUGAUACAUCAUAAGAACCAUUCUAGAUGCACAGAAGAGAAAUGAAUCCAUGACGAACCAUGGAUGAUUGUUCAUAAGGCAUUAGAGGUUAAGUCUCUCUAGGAACCCCAGUUGAGAGAGGCUCUAGGCCCCAUCCACAGCUCUCGUUUAACAGAAAGCAUCAUCAGGAUAGCAUGCCAUCUAUUUCUUCCCACCUCCACCACCCUUAGAGUCUGCUCUGCUCCUGGCAUCAGAGAGAACCCUGCAAAGAUCAGGCAAAGGAAGAGGCCAUCUUCAUAAGAUUCAGGGGCCUGAUCGAUUCCCCAACUUUUUUUCACUGAAACUUAAUCUCACCCACCUUAAUUCAAAAGCCUCAGGGCCCCAAACAAAUAAUGAACAGGGACUGAGGAAACAGUGAUUUGGAAAUAAAACAAACAAGUAUC